GUCUCAGCUAGCCCCACACCCUGUCACCUUGUCACCCCAGAGCAGCCAGUAGUCCAGCCCCACACAUUCAAGGGCCCUACGCUGGCCCCACACAGCCUUCCCACUGAGUUUCUCUGUUCCUGGGGGACCUCCCCUCACACAGAAAGGAAUCCCUUCUCCUAGUUCAGUUCCUGCAUCCAGGCUGGGGGCAGCCUCAGUCCCUCAGCCAGUUAUCAGCUGGGAGCUGGAAAUGCAGAGGAUGGCUCUGUAGGGAAAAUGGACAAUGAGUCCGGGGUCUGGGUCUGGCUCACUUGGGCAAAGCUGAGAGGUUCCCAGGAUGUCUGGAUCACUGGCUGUCAUGGAAAGACUGAUGGAGAGCAAGACACUGAUGCUUUAGGAUUGCAAGCCCUAGGACUGGGGCACACAAGGCCUUGGAAUCAGGCUGACCUGGGCAGACUCCCAGCUCUGCAACUCAGCUGAUAUCCUUGGACAAAUCCAUUACCGGUUUCCUCAUGUGUAAAACUGAGAUGAUGAUACCCACUGUGAGGGAUGUUUGAAGAUCAAGUGAACUUUAAUACAUAGACAAUGCUUAGGCACAAAAAUUACCUACCUACUACCCAAAGUGUACGUGCAGAUAGAGGCCGGCUUCUUGCAUUUGUUUGUUUUUCACUCUGUGCACUUGUGAGUGUGUGUGUGUGUGUGUGUGUGUUUAAAUGCGCUUUCAUUCAAACUCAGCCUGCAGGGCUGGGUGACACACCGGAGGAGCACUAAGAUCUUUCUUGAUGUGUCACAGGUCUUUUCCCAAUCCACCGACAACAGAAGUAACUCUUCAGUAAAAGCAACAACACUACUAACACUUCCUAAGGGGUUUCUGUUGCUUCUGCUUCGUGAGGAGGAAGCCAGUACCAGAUUCUUAUCCCUCUUCUCCUUAAGGGGAAAUUGCCUUAGAGGAAAAAAUGGAGCGUUUCAGCAGUGACUGCAAGCUGAUCAUCAGUCCCAAGUGUGUUGGUUUCUACUGUACGGUAAAUGAAUCAGAUCUACAUGUAUAUC
ensembl:lncRNA